AGUUCUUCGCUAAACCCGUUGCUCGAGAGUCUUGUUCGUACUUCUUACGAGAUAAAAACUCCAGAAAAGUGUCAUCAUUUCUUCCACGCUCGGAUAUACUAUCAUUUCAGGAUUCUAUGAACUGUGAUGGACCAUUGAACUCUGUCCUGAAAGCUGAACGUCGUUCACCGAAAGUGUAAAAAAUGGAUGAAGAAAUAAAAACCUAAAAAGGAAUAAAAAUGGCUCAAGUUGCCCAAUCUCCUUUAUCAAAAACAGAUACACAUCAGAAAUUCGAUAAAGCCAAAAUUGGAGAUGGACAAGACAUCAAUAAUUUCCUGUCUCAACAAGAAGCGCUGCGAAGAGCUACGUUGCUGAAGCAUAGAAAAGUUUCUACGCAAUUAAAAGUAU